GGUUGGGGUAGGGUUAGUGGUUGGGGUGGGGGUGGGGGCAGGGUUUGGGGUUGGGGUAGGGUUAGUGGUUGGAGUAGGUUUAUGGGUAGGAUUAGGGUAGCCCUAACCCUAUUCCUAACCCUACCCCUAACCCUACUCCUAACCCUAACCCUGCUCCUAACCUAACCCUACCCUUAACCCUACACUAACCCUCCUCUAACCCUACCCCUAACCCUACCCUACCCCUACCCCUACAUCUAACCCUACCCCUAACCCUACCUCUAACCCUACCCCUAACC